rnacentral:rRNA from 1 species
GAUGAACGCUGGCGGCGUGCCUAAUACAUGCAAGUCGAGCGAACAGACGAGGAGCUUGCUCCUCUGACGUUAGCGGCGGACGGGUGAGUAACACGUGGAUAACCUACCUAUAAGACUGGGAUAACUUCGGGAAACCGGAGCUAAUACCGGAUAAUAUAUUGAACCGCAUGGUUCAAUAGUGAAAGACGGUUUUGCGGUCACUUAUAGACGGAUCCGGGCCGCAUUAGCUAGUUGGUAAGGUAACGGCUUACCAAGGCAACGAUGCGUAGCCGACCUGAGAGGGUGAUCGGACACACGGGAACUGAGACAGGGUCCAGACUCCGAGGGUAGGCAGCAGUAGGGAAUCUUCCGCAAUGGGCGAGAGCUUGACGGAGCAACGCCGCGGGAGUGAUGAUGCUCUUCUGAUCGUAGAACUCUGUUAUUAGGGGAGAACAAAUGUGUAAGUAACUGUGAUCGUCUUGACGGUACCUAAACAGAAAGCCACGGCUAACUACGUG